rnacentral:rRNA from 1 species
GAUGAACGCUGGCGGCGUGCCUAAUACAUGCAAGUCGAGCGAACGGACGAGAAGCUUGCUUCUCUGAUGUUAGCGGCGGACGGGUGAGUAACACGUGGAUAACCUACCUAUAAGACUGGGAUAACUUCGGGAAACCGGAGCUAAUACCGGAUAAUAUUUUGAACCGCAUGGUUCAAAAGUAAAAGACGGUCUUGCUGUCACUUAUAGAUGGAUCCGCGCUGCAUUAGCUAGUUGUUAAGGUAACGGCUUACCAAGGCAACGAUGCAUAGCCGACCUGAGAGGGUGAUCGGCCACACUGGAACUGAGACACGGUCCAGACUCCUACGGGAGGCAGCAGUAGGGAAUCUUCCGCAAUGGGCGAAAGCCUGACGGAGCAACGCCGCGUGAGUGAUGAAGGUCUUCGGAUCGUAAAACUCUGUUAUUAGGGAAGAACAUAUGUGUAAGUAACUGUGCACAUCUUGACGGUACCUAAUCAGAAAGCCACGGCUAACUACGUG